GAUCAGAUGAUCAUCUGAUUUUCCUAUUAGUCUGUAUCUUCAUUGUGGUCAUCAUCGUGUGUUGUGUUUUAUACAUAACACGUGAAUAUCUAAAAGUGUGCAAAGAACGUGAUGAAAACACAUCCUUAGACCAAGUACUCACUCUUCCCUCCAAUCAGAACAAAAAAAAUGAAAAGUGGAACUCAGGAUUGAACGUGUUGACUGAGGAUGAGAAGAUGGAUACAGAAGGAGCCAUGCUACUCACUGCUUCUGUUCAUGCACUUCAUUCCUCUUCAACAGACAUAAACACUAUCACUGAACUUUCAGAAACCAGCAAUGAUCAGCAAGUUCAUCUGAAAAAUUCAGAGGAAAAUGUGACAAAAGAUGACUUUCUGAAUCCAGCGACACUGAGUGAUUGGGGAGGCAAAAAACAUGAGGGACAAAGCAACACUUGGACAGGAACCAGUUCUACAUAUCCAUCCAACCAUCCAUCCAUCCAUUUUCUACCGUUUGUUCCUCUAAAAGUCGCAGGAGGUGCUGGAACCUAUUUCAGCUGCAUUUGGGCGGAAGGCGGCGUACACCCUGGACAAGUCGCCACCUCAUCGCAGGGCCAACACAGAGAGACAACUUUCACAAACUAGGGCCAAUUUAGUGUUGCCAGUUAAUGAAUUUUGUAGUGAUUUGUAAAUAGUAGAAACCCAACAUAUCCUGUGAGAUGAGCGACAAUUUAAGAGAUGAGUCCCAAUUCAAACGGUGUUAUUAUACCUCGUUGUUCUGCUCUUAUUGUCACGGUUUGCGGUGCAGCUUGCUGCGGUUCGUUCUCCCGGGACGCAAAACUGACGACUCCGGACGAAAGCGUGCAGGUAGGAGAUGAUUUAUUAAUCAUAAAUCGUAAAUGGAUACAAACAGACAAAAACAAAACAAAAGGGAUGCGUGCCGAUCGCACGGGAAGCUAAGGUAACUUACUUAGCACAGGAACACUAGAAGCUAAGGAAUCGCUUAGCACAGGAAUCAUGAACUCGAAAUCUCACGUGACAGUAGCGGGAAGCAAAUAAUGAAGCCACGACGAGUGACCGGAAAAGGCAGGCUUAAAUAGUAGACUCUGAUGAGCAACAGGUGCGCGUAAAAGGCAGGUGAAAAUCAUAAGUAACCAUGGUGACUAAACUCAGGAAGUGCAUAAACAGGAACUAAAAGGAGUCCAAAACAAACCAAUAACACAAAACAUGAUCCGACCACGGAUCAUGACACUUAUAGUGAAAGUCUACUGCUGAUGUGUCUCACUAACUGGUUUCACUUUUGACAAAUCACAGCCUCAUAGACACCUGUAAAUAUCAGUUCGGUAGCAGUUCAUUAAAAAAACAUCAAAUUGUAAUCAAAUAGAUUUGUAAAAGCUGAUCAUCAAGAAUGACUCUACAUGUCUUAGUUUUUUUCAUGACUUCCCUAUUUUAGGUAAGUUAAUUAAAUGUAAAUGUGCUAUACUUGUAUAGCGUUUUUCUACCUUUUUUAAGGAACUCAAAGCGCUUUGACACUAUUUCCACAUUCACCCAUUCACACACACAUUCACACACUGAUGGCGGGAGCUCCCAUGCAAAGCGCUCACCAGGACCCAUCAGGAGCAAGGGUGAGGUGUCUUGCUCAAGGACACAAUGGACGUGACUAGGAUGGUAGAAGGUGGGGAUUGAACCAGCAACCCUCAGAUUGCUGGCACGGCCACUCCCAACUUUGCCACGCCGUCCCAGUUAUGUCAUCAUGUUUUAUAAAUACUCUUGUUUUUGUGCUGAUAAAAAUAUAUUUUCGUUAGAAUUCCAUGUUGAUAUGUUUUGUAAGUUGUACAGUUUAUUAAUAUUGGUAUUUCUGUAAGGUGUUGUAGUCAAUGAUGCAUGUAUUAAUUGACCUUGUUCGUACAAGUUUCUUUAAAAGAAAAAUAGUUAAUAUCUCACCAGGCAGUAGUGGUUCUAUACCAUAUUUACGGAAUUACAGGGAAAAAUACACUGUAAACUGUUUUGAAUGUUUUUAUUCCGAUUUAGUUUGUUAAAAAUAAAAAUGUUUCAUUAUGGUAAGACAAGCAGGAAGUAUACAUCUCCAACAUCUAAAACUUGUUGUACCGGUUGACCGUACCAAUGUUUUGUUUAUCAAGGACUGUCAAAGUAUGCGCGUUAUUGCAAAUUAAUCGUUUGUCAUUAAUAAUAUGAUUUUAAAAACUGUACACACUGAACUCAUCUGCAGCGCAGAAAGACUCAAAAUCCCUGAGAUGUGUCUGGCAACAAAUUUUGGGCAGUUAGUCCAAGUAGGGGAAUGUGGUGGUAGUGGAAGAGUGGAAUGCCUCUCAUAAAUGGGCAAGGCAAGUUUAUUUAUAGAGCACAAUUCGUACACAACGCAAUUCUUACAAGAAAGCAAAAAUAAAACCAAAAUAAUCUUAAAAGUAAUCAUAAUUCAAAUUAAAACCAUAGAAAAAAAUCAUCAUAAAAACAAUCAUUUAAAAUAAAAUAGUACAGAUAAAAUACUUUAAGUUGUCUUAUGAACAGUUAAAUAAAAAUGUUUUUAGCCUGGAUUUGGACAUUUCUUAAGGCUUGUCUCACAUCUUUUGGAGGACUAUUCAAUCAAUCAAUCGCCGUUUAUUUAUAUAGCCCUAAAUCACGAGUGUCUCAAAGGGCUGCACAAGCCACAACGACAUCUUCGGCUCAGAUCCCACAUCAGGGCAAGGAAAAACUCAACCCAGUGGGACAAUGAGAAACCUUGGAGGGGACUGCAGAUGUGGGGACUACCCCCGCCCCCGGGCAACCGGUGCAGUGGACGUCGAGUGGAUCUAGCAUAAUAUUGUGAGAGUCCAGUCCAUAGUGGAUCUAACAUAAUAGAGAGAGUCCAGUCCAUAGUGGAUCUAACAUAAUAGAGAGAGUCCUGUCCAUAGUGGAUCUAACAUAAUAGAGAGAGUCCAGUCCAUAGUGGAUCUAACAUAAUAGAGAGAGUCCGGUCCAUAGUGGAUCUAACAUAGUAGAGAGAGUCCAGUCCAUAGUGGAUCUAACAUAAUAGAGAGAGUCCAGUCCAUAGUGGGGCCAGCAGGAGACCAUCCCGAGCGAAGACAGGUCAGCAGCGCAGAGACAUCCCCAACCGAUGCACAGACGAGCGGUCCACCCCGGGUCCCGACUUUGGACAGCCAGCGCUUCAUCCGUGGCCACCGAAGCUGUGCCCCCCCUCCACGAAGGAAGGGGGGGGCAGAGAAGACAAAAGACUGGUCUAAAAGGGGGUAUAUUUAAAGGCUAGAGUAUACAAAUGAGUUUUAAGAUGGGACUUAAAUGCUUCUACUGGUUUUAAGAGCACAAAACUGAAACACAGCCUAGCAAUACUUUGUCCUGACUCUGGAAACCAGCAGGAGACCACUCCCUGAGGUUCUCAGAGCCCGAGAUGGUUCAUAUGGUUCUAACAUGUCAGAGAUGUACUUUGGUACCAGACCAUGAAAAGACUUGUACUUAUCAUAAUCUUAUUCAUUUUAUAGAGGAUGAAUAGAGACAUCAAUGACUGCCGUUCUACAAACACUGUGUGGAAAAUUAUUGGGUGCGGUUUAUACGCCGCUGCGACUUAUAGUCCGGAAACAAUGUAUAUUUUAUAUAGCCUGAAGCAACUCCAGUACUAAAUAUACAGUAGACUGCUUCUUCUAAUCCUUCUUUGACCUCCACAGACAUGGACACUCUACUUGAGAAAGUAUCAGCAAGUUUAUGGAGGAUAAAAUUUGAAUGUGGAGAGGGGCGUGGCCAGUGGGCCUUCAGCAGAAUGGGCCUCGAAGACAGCAACAGGUGCGUAGAUGGCCCAAGUGGGCCUAGUCAUCUAAUCACCUGUCGCCCUUUAUUAGCAGCAGCCGGAAGGAGAGAAGGUGUGGGAGCUGGAGUGGGAGCGAAAGCGAGACCGAGACCGAGACCGAGACCGUGACCGAGACCGAGACCGACAUGAACUAAGGACAAUCGUUUAAAUUUUGCAAUUAUUAAAGCAUUGUGAAAAAAUAUUGUGGAAAAAAGUUAGUUUAAAAAAAAAAAUACAUGUGUAUGUCAUUGUACAACAAUUAUUCACUAUAGGAGUAUUUUGACCAAAGGUUGACAUUUUACAAAAACAUUUUACAGAAAUGAAAACACUAUCAAAUAAAAACAUCAAUCUAAAAAGUCAAUGGCAGUUUUGCAAAAGGGCGCUUGGAUAUUGACUACAUAAAAAAUAGUAUUUCUACUCAGAUCAGACAUAUUUACAGCUACUAUUACCUACAGUUCUACAGCAACACAACAACUCUCUGUAGAUGUAUGAAACAUCCCUCUAGUCAGGCAAUCCCCUCCCACUCAUCUGAGCAUUAGAGUGGUCCACCACAUUUUGAUGUCAUGGGUGCAUUUACAAAAGAAAGAGGGCUAAUUGUCGAUGUUGAGUGGUACUUUUUAAACUAAUAAUAACCUUUUGGCUGCCUUCUGGGAAUUGCAGGGGGGUUACAAAACCCUGUGAGUUGUCGGUGCUAGAUAACUCCAGGGUGAAUCAAUAGGUAUUUUACCUGUACUUUUACUUAAUUGACAUUGUUUUUAACAUUUUAAUAACGUUCUGUUUUGUUCCUGCUAACAUGACAGUGCACAGCUGUGUAAGCAAACCAAACAGGGAGGAGGUAGACGAUGGGAACGCAGCAAUGCUGCUUAGUACUGGUAUUACAGUUACGUAGUAUUCCAGUCCUGGAGCAAAGAAAAGUUCACUUUUAUUGAUUUCCGGCCAUAUGAAGAUGAAGUUUGUCAAUAUCUGUGUUGUGUGACAAAUGUUUUUCACUUUUCCUUUAGCCAGGUUAUUGUCACUUUGCCACUGUUGUGUUAAAACAGUCAUUGUAUAUAUAAGCUAUAGUAUAUAUUUUAGUCUUUAUUUGAUAUUAUUAUAAUAUUAUUUAACUUCCUUUAUUUUCAUGUGUGUCCAGUCAGUGUCCUCCCCCUCGUUUUGUACAUCAUGCCGCAACUUUGCAAGUAUGUAUGUAUGUGUGUAUGUAUGUAUGUGUAUGUAUGUAUGUAGUGUCGAUGUAGCGUGUAAUGCAGCUUGCUAUAAUUCUGUGGGGAUAGCUUCGCCUGUAGCUUAGCUACAUUAAAUGGAGAGUAACUAGUAGCUUAUCUUACGACAAUAAAAAUAUUUUAUCAAAUAAUUUGUCUGUUUAGACAAAAUUGUAAGAAUUUGACAAUGAUAAUUUUGAAUAGUUGAAAAGUUUACAUUGACUGUUACUCUGUAGUGAAUUACAAUUGGCUUACACGGCUUUUAAACGUGAGUGUGUAUUUCUGUUUUCAUUUAUUUUAUAAAGCAGAAAUUGCUUUGUUGGUCACGCCAAAUAAAUCUGACAAAAUAAUUGCUGUCUGACUUUAAUCGCCAAAUUGUGAUUAGCUAAUAGCAUGUGUGAUUUCACUGCACUGAGCAAAGUUUGGAGGUCUUUUUUUUGCACAUUCCCACAUCCUAAAACACAUAAAUACCAUUUCCGUCAAAAACUAAAUUAAGAAAAAUUGCGAUUUGAUGUUUUUGUUUUAUUUAUUUUAUUUUAUUUUGUUAUCCCUUGCACGUGUUCAUGCUCCUUUUGUUUAUUAUUUCGUUAUAGUCGAGUUAUUUCAAUGUCUUAAUUACUGGUUCAACAUUAUUGAGGACAAAUAUACUCUUUAUACA